CAACUUUUAACGGUGGAUCUCUUGGCUCGUGCAUCGAUGAAGAACGCAGCCAGGUGCGAUAAGUAGUGUGAAUUGCAGAAUUCAGUGAAUCAUCGA
rnacentral:rRNA from 1 species